rnacentral:tRNA from 1 species
GCCCUGAUAGUAUAAACAA